CCUACGGGAGGCAGCAGUGGGGAAUAUUGCACAAUGGGCGCAAGCCUGAUGCAGCCAUGCCGCGUGUAUGAAGAAGGCCUUAGGGUUGUAAAGUGCUUUCAGUUGGGAGGAAGGCGUUGAUGCUAAUAUCAUCAACGAUUGACGUUACCAACAGAAGAAGCACCGGCUAACUCCGUGCCAGCAGCCGCGGUAAUACGGAGGGUGCAAGCGUUAAUCGGAAUUACUGGGCGUAAAGCGCACGCAGGCGGUUGACUAAGUUAGAUGUGAAAUCCCCGGGCUUAACCUGGGAAUGGCAUCUAAGACUGGUCAGCUAGAGUCUUGUAGAGGGGGGUAGAAUUCCAUGUGUAGCGGUGAAAUGCGUAGAGAUGUGGAGGAAUACCGGUAGCGAAGGCGGCCCCCUGGACAAAGACUGACGCUCAGGUGCGAAAGCGUGGGGAGCAAACAGGAUUAGAUACCCCCGUAGUC
rnacentral:rRNA from 1 species